rnacentral:rRNA from 1 species
CACGUAGGGGGCGAGCGUUGUCCGGAAUCAUUGGGCGUAAAGAGCUCGUAGGCGGCUCGGUAAGUCGGGUGUGAAACCCCCAGGCUCAACCUGGGGACGCCACCCGAUACUGCUGUGGCUAGAGUCCAGUAGGGGAGUGUGGAAUUCCCGGUGUAGCGGUGAAAUGCGCAGAUAUCGGGAGGAACACCAGCGGCGAAGGCGGCACUCUGGGCUGGAACUGACGCUGAGGAGCGAAAGCGUGGGUAGCAAACAGGAUUAGAUACCCUGGUAGUCCACGCCGUAAACGUUGGGCACUAGGUGUGGGGACCCUCCAACGGUUUCCGUGCCGUAGCUAACGCAUUAAGUGCCCCGCCUGGGGAGUACGGCCGCAAGGCUAAA